rnacentral:lncRNA from 1 species
GCUCAGUUCCUGGAGGGAAAGUAGGGGUGAGCAUCACAUACGUUCAUCGCCCAGUAGAGGAGCUCAACCCCACUAGGUUUUAUAAAUAGCAUGCAGUAAAGGAUUAUCACGAACUUAGAAAUGCGUAAAACACAUAAAUAACGUAAAGAAAAUCAUUAAGUACACGACUCGUAGACGGGAUCCCAAUAGCUCACAAACCCGAUGACCGGUCCCAUAGACCAACUACACGGCCUUACCUCAAAUAGAAUGUUUACCAGGUAAGCAUAGCGAGAGCGUCCACUACCUAGCUACACACACGUACCGGGCCCGUCAUUAUGAUCAGAAUACCCGAACGACCGGCGUAACUAACCCUCCG